rnacentral:lncRNA from 10 species
AGUUUCAGAAAAAGAAAAGUUAAAGAAAAGAGGAGAAUGCUGGGUGAGGCUCAAAGAGCUUCAAUGACUUGCCUCAGAAAUGACAGGAUGGACCUUGUGUAACCCAGUGAUGUAUUCAUAAUCGACAGUUGCCAAGUUGAUGCUCCAUUAUUACCUUGAGUUUUGAUGAUCCUUUGAUAUGCCAUGACCCAACAGAGAUAAGGUGUCCUGGGAGUGGAGAAAGGGCAGUUUCAUACAUGUUGUCAGCAUGUCACAUGUUUUUUCAAUAUUUAAGGAAGGAAUCUGGAGAAACAGGAAUCUGGAGUUGAAUUCCUCUAUGGUCAGAUGGUAUCAUGACCUCAUCAUUGGCGUAGUUUCCUCUCCAGGAAUGGAACAUUGAAGAGAGGAAAGAAUCAUAGACUUUGUUUGUAUCCUGCCAACCCUCAACAGAACAGACUGCAAUAGGGGAGGAAUGGACGUAACCACUAACAGUAAAUAACUCUUCUCCAGGAAGCAUUUCCAAAGAAGUCCAUCACACCUUUGUUCUUGGCAAACAUCCUCACUUUUCUGGUUUGCUUUGAAAAGCAACAGGCAGCAUGUACACAACAAACGUCACCCAGGAAAUAGGCAAGCAGUAAGUGUCAUGGAUUCCUCUAUUUGCUCAGUUCUUACAGAAAAUCUUAUACAUGGACUAGCAAACUGCACAAGGACAUUAUUUGUCUUGCCCAAACCCUGCAGUUGGUGUUGUCUUUCUUCUCCUGGUGCAGGCCGAUGUCCUAGUCCACCCAUACAGCUUUUUCUCCUCCAUGAGUCCUGUUCUGUUUCUACUAGUACUUCCUGAGCCAUAUUGUGUCCCUUACUACUGGUGAGCUCUAGCUAAAUUAUGGAUCCCAUGACAACAACAUGGGCUAACUACAGCCUUUUUACAUAUUUAAAGACAGAGUCUAAGGAAGAACAAAAACAACUUUUUACAAUGAGAUUCAUAACUAAAGAUGCAUUUCAAUGACUUCUCCUGCCUCUACCACCACAAAUACGGCAGAUUUAGUGCCUUAGUUACAUCAUAAUUGCUCAGGAAAAAGCAGACUGACAUUUCAACUGCUUGUUAGCUACAACUAUAGAGACUUGAACUUUGUUUUUCUAUAUAAAGGGCUACAUUCACUAUCUGUUUUAAUUCUCAAUUUAAUUUGAGCUGGAAUCACAUAUGAUGUCAAAUAAAGAAGGUCAGGUGUGGUGGCUCACGCCUAUAAUCCCAGCACUUUGGGAGUCUGAGGUGGGUGAAUCACCUGAGAUCAGGUGUUCGAGACAAGCCUGGGCAACAUGGUGAAACCCUGUCUCUACUAAAAGUACAAAAAUUAGAUGGGUGUGGUGGCUCAUGCCUGCAGUCCCAGCUACUCAGAAGGCUAAGACAGGAGAAUUGCUCAAACCUGGAAGGUGGAGGUUGCAGUGAGCCAAGAUCGUGCCACUGUACUCCAGCCUGGGCAACAGAGCAAGACUCUGUCUCACAAAAAAAAAAAAAAAAAAAAAAAAGCAAAAAUGAUCCAGGAAGAGCAACAAAGAAUUUGAUUUAUAGUCCUGGGUUUAAUUUCCCAGUAAAAUAGUACAAGCUAUUUUAUGAUGGCAUACUUGGAAAGCCAUGAACCUAGACACAGGUACACUGUAUAAACUCAGUGUGACCUUGCCAAAAGACGCCAAAAUGGAAAGUAAAGAGGUUCGGACUAGUGAACCUCACUUGUACAAGAGAUGAGAAUAGCCAAAUACAUAGGAUCUAACAAAUAAACUAGAAUUAGAGAAUCUUGUUUGAAAAGAAAAUAAAUCUUGGGGCCCCAAAAUCACUAAGCUAAAGGGAAAAUCAAGCUAGGAACUGUUUAGGGCAAACCUGCCUCAUAUUCUAUACAAAGUCGCCCCUCUGCUCACUGAGAUAAAUGCAUAUCUGAUUGCCUUCUUUGGAGAGGCUAAUCAGAAACUCAAAAUAAUGCAACCAUUUGUCUCUUUUCUACCGAUGACCUGGAAGCCCCCUCCCCACUUCAAGUUGUCCCUCCUUUGCUUCAAGAUGGAACCAAUGUUCAUAUUACAUAUGUUGAUUGAUGUCUCAUGUCUCCCGAAAAUGUAUAAAAUCAAACUGUGCUCUGACCACCUAGGGGAAAUGUCGUCAGGACCUUCUGAGGCUGUGUCAUGUGUGCAUGUCCUCACUUUGUCAAAAUAAACUUUCUAAAUUAACUGAGACCUCCCUCAGAUAUUUGGGGUUCACACCAGCUUUUCUUUGUUCUGACUUUUAACUGUAUUGUUUUUGGGCAGGGCAAUUUAUACAUUUCCUAUGGGGUCUCCAUACUACUGUAUUUCUUGUAGUAUGGUUAAAGGUACUUGAAAUAACUUCAACAUGGAAAAUGGAAUCUUGACACCUAUGAGUAAAAUAAAUGCAGGCACCUUUUGUCUGUGAGUUUCAAUGAGCAGAUGAGAAGGGAUUCUCUAGCCCAUGGAGAAUAAGGGUUAGAGUAUCAGCCUAUGAGAGUCAAGUGGGGAGUCAAGAACUUUGUGUUUCCAGGUGGCCAGCAACACUUCCCCUUUCUCCUCUUCUCCAAAGGAGUUUUGGGUUAGUCUUACCUGGUUAGGAGAGGGAUAGCAAUUUUGUCAAGCAGUUCUGAUAGCUGUAAUAGCAAAAGGACAGAAUACGGUGAUUACCUAUUACCUCAGGUUGCCCUGGAGAGGAGAUUCAAGGACUGUCUCUUUUAUGAAUCAUAUUUGAGUAGCUCUGGGUAUUAUUGAGAAUGGCCUUGCAUUAACUACUCAAGGGACUUAUGUAUAAGUAACAACCAACCACUUUAAUGAUAGCAUCUUGAACAGGUGACACUCUUACAUUUUAAAUACGUUUUGCACUUAAUCUAAACUGAUUAUAAAAUCACAUCAUUAUGUUUAUAUAUUUAGGCUACAGAUUUCAGCUCAUUUCAGAAAUAAUCGGGUUAAAAAGAGAGAACUUUUGAUAGAAGUGAAAAAGGACAUUUUGGGGUGUGGUUCUCAUGCACCUAAAGGCGAUUUUGGGGAGAUCAUCCUACCAAAAUGGAAAUUUGGAAAAGGAAAGAAGAAAGCUCACAUAUUAAUAUUUUGAAACAUUAGUAUUGUACAGAUUUCCAAGGGCAGAGAAUAUGAUUUGUCUGCAUACCUCUAGAUGGAAAGUUCAAUACUCAAUAGAAGUAAUUAAAUAACUGGAAUCACAAAUAAAGGAAGACGACACUCACGCCAUGGAAGGAGAUUUUCCUUUCUUUCUUGGCCUUCCUACUUUAACUUCUGCCUUCCCUUUGUACAACGGAAAAUCUCUCAUCCCGUACCCUUCCAUCCUACCCCAGACCUAAAUGUGCCUUACCUUUUGAGAAGAUCUGUCAGAGGUGUUCUAUUCAAGAACAACUCCAUCUUGAAUAGAAGCUGGGCAACAUAAUGCUGAGACCUACUGGGUUGCAUUCCCAGAUGGUUAAGGCAUUCUAAGUCACAGGAUGAGAUAGGAGGUUGGCACAAGAUACAGGUCAUAAAGACCUUGCUGAUAAAACAUUGCGGUAAAGAAGCUGGCUAAAACCCCCAAAACCAAGGUGACCAUGAGAGUGACCUCUGGCUGUCCUCACUGCUACAUUCCCAUCAGUGCCAUGAUAGUUUACAAAUGCCAUGGCAAGGUCAGGAAGUUAUGCUAGAUGGUCUAAAAGGGGAGGUAUGACUAACCCACCCCUUGUUUAACAUAUCAUCAAGAAAUAACCAUAAAAAUGCGCAACCAGCAGUUCUUGGGGCUGCUCUGUCUAUAGAAUAGCCAUUCUUUUAUUUAUUUACUUUCCUAAUAAACUUGCUGUCACUUUAUGGACUCAUCUUGAAUUCUUUCUUGUGCGAGAUCCAGGAACCCUCUCUUGGGGUCUGGAUUGGAACCUCUUUCCCAUAACAGUUCCAGAACCUGCAAGGUAAGGAUGAGGUCGCAUAAAAGCUUCGGAAGUUGGAAGUUGGAGAAAUUUGGCUUUGAAUCUUGUUUUAAAGAUAGGGGCUCGCAAAUAGAAAACUAAGUCAGAAAGGAGGCAAAUGCAAGAUCAUUCACAGGAGAACUUCCUAUGUGAAAUCAAAAGACAACAAAUGAUGUUGGGUAGGAGCAAGAAUCCAAGUGACCAGAGGGACAAAAUGUGACUUGGGGUGGUUGUGAGAAAAAAAAAUCUGUUCAACAAGAAUAUAGACUCAGAGAGAGAGGGGGAUACACUUUCUUCUGUGAAGAUGAAAUGUGUAAGCAGAGGGUAGAGGCUAAUGGGAAAAGACAUCUUCCUGGGAUGCUUGUCUCUGUACUCUUCAAGGGUUAUCUUGCUCUGGGCAUUUAUAAUGGCUUUUCUCCAUUUUCUCCAGUGAAGUCCAGUUUUCUAAUCAACUCUCAUGUCAAUCCUAUAUCUUUUUCAUCUGCCUUAAGGAUUCCUUGCAUGUGCGAGCAGGAAAGUCUUUGAGAUUCUUUAACACAGUCAACUAACAAAUGGGAAAACUAAGGAUCUGGUCAAAUAAGUGACUUAUUGUCACUAGAAACAGUUGUGGCAAACAUUUUUAACAAAUCCAAAUUUUCUUAGUCUUAUUCCAGUUUUCUUUUUAGCGUGCCAGGCUGCUUCCAGUUAUUUCAUUUCUCCUCCUUCUGAGAACUCUGUGUGUGUGCACAUGUGCAUUUGUAUAUGUUGGUCUCUUAUGUAUAUGUUAAUAAGGAUGGUUAUCUAAGGGACAAAAUUACUCAGUAAGAUAUGAAAAGGCUUCUAAGAUAUAUUUUGAAGGUUAAUAUAACUGCCAAAUGUGUUCAAAUGGAUUUUAAUUUACUCUUUAACAAUUUAUUUGCCUCUGUCUGUCCCCUUGGAGCAAUGCCAUCAAAUAGAAAUAUAAUGAGAGUCACAAAUACAAGUUGCGUAUGUAAUUUUAAAUUUUCAAGUAGUUACAUUUAAAAAGCAAGAUGAGCAAAAUUAAUUUUAAUAAUGUUUUUCUUAGCUUAAUAUACCCAAAAUAUUAUCAUUUUAACCUGUAUUCUAUAAAGAAGUUAUUAUGCGAGUUUUAUAUUUUCUCACAAUGAGUCUUCAAAGCUGGUGUGUAUUUUACAUUUUUAGCUCAUCUAAAUUUAGAAUAGCCACAUUUAAGGUGUUCAACAGCCAUAUCUGGUUAGUAGCUACCCUAUCAGGCCUUAGAGUAUAAUUGUUUAGGCACAGCCCUUAUUCAGUCACAAAAAUCGUAGCCAUUGCCCAUUUAAUAGCUAUUAUUUUGGUACCAGA